CUAAGAAUAUUCCGCAAUGGACGGAAGUCUGACGGAGCGACGCCGCGUGGAUGACGAAGGCCGAAAGGUUGUAAAGUUCUUUUGCUGGGGAAGAAUAACCGCAGGAGGGAAUGCCUGUGGGAUGACAAGAACCGGCGAAUAAGCCCCGGCCAACUACGUGCCAGCAGCCGCGGUAACACGUAGGGGGGCGAGCGUUGUUCGGAAUUACUGGGCGUAAAGGGCAUGUAGGCGGCUUGGAAAGCCUGGCGUGAAAGUCUGCAGCUUAACUGCAGGGGUGCGCUGGGAACUGCUGAGCUUGAGUGACGGAGAGGGAGCUGGAAUUCCUGGUGUAGGGGUGAAAUCUGUAGAUAUCAGGAAGAACACCGAUGGCGAAGGCAAGCUCCUGGCCGGUGACUGACGCUGAGGUGCGAAAGUGUGGGGAUCAAACAGGAUUAGAUACCCUGGUAGUCCACACAGUCAACGAUGUGCACUAGGUGCUGGGGCGGUAGCUUCGGUGCCGGAGCGAACGUGGUAAGUGCACCGCCUGGGGGGUAUGCUCGCAAGGGUGAAA
rnacentral:rRNA from 1 species